AUGAGCUCUUCCUACCACCCGCAAACUGACGGGCAAACGGAGCGGGUCAAUCAAUGCUUAGAGACAUAUUUGCGUUGCUCGGUGCAUGCCUGCCCCAGGAACUGGUUCAAGUGGUUAUUCCUUGCUGAAUAUUGGUACAACACAACGUUUCAUUCAGCCUUGGGGAGAACUCCUUUUGAAGUGAUCUACGGCACCAUGCCCAGGGAGUUUGGAGUGAAUCAAGUGGAUGAGUGCACUGUUCCAGAUCUGGCAUCAUGGCUCAAAGAACGAGAGGUUAUUUGA
rnacentral:rRNA from 1 species